AUGGAUCAGCUGGCAGAUGGGAUGCAGCAGAUCAGACGGUGCCGUAUCAGUUGUGUUUAUGCUGCUUGUGAACAAAUGGUGUUACAGCCUGCAUGUUUAUCCCUUUUGAUCCAUACACAAUUGGAAAAAGGUGCAAUAAUCAAGACUUGCUCUUUUUUUUUUUUUCUUUUUUCCUCUUUCUUUCUCGUCUCUGUGGUAUUAACCCUGAUGGGAAUUGAUGACAGGAGAUGGACAGCAUGAGCCAGUUUCCUCAAUGCCAAACAUUUUGCAGCUUUGAAGGAGGUCUGGAAAUCUUGCUGCACCUGACAGGGAGAUGCCUGCCUUCCACCAAGUUGGACUGAACAUUUCUUAGUGGGAGUGUUGAUUGUUUUUGUGUUUUCCCAUGCCAAUGCUAUUUAGGGUGGACAUACAAUGAAUCCAGAAGAAAGAGCAUCAUAUUAUUAAGAAGAUGAAUGAUGAUAUCGAAUUAGCUGAAAAGUGAAUUAAGGAUUAAUAAUUCCUUUUGUUUGCUAUGGGCAAACAAUGACUCUUCUCUAAAUGAAAGAAUCCUAAUUAUUCUAGGUUUCAAGUUUUUCAGAUCUUUCUAUUUCUUGUGUUUUAGUGGUUAUCUGGUCACACUACCUUACAGGAGAAAGAAUGACUUUUCUCACUAGCAGCAAUGCAGCCCCUGUUUUGAAAUGAGAAGCAAGAACCUUCUUCUCUGCCAUGACAGCAAAAACAGUUAAUGAAUGAAGUGGAAGAGUAGGCAGUUCAUUCUGUAGUGCCUACAUUGGUUCUUUGAUGCUAAAAUUAGAUGCCAUAUUGUAUGUGGUCAGCAUUGUAGUUAUAAUCUUUAAUAGCAAUGAAAAUAGUUUAGCUUAAGAAAAGGCAAUAUGCUAUGCAUAAUUCAGUUGUCUUUAGGACAUAGGCAGGUUUGUGUAUGUUUCAGUUAGAUUUGUAGAAAGACACAUGUUUUCUCAUGCACCGUGUUGAACUUUUCAGUGCACUGUCCCAUGAAGGCACCAGCACCUGACUGACAAAACAUAGCAGUACAGCAGAGCCCCUGAGCUCAGACAUUGUAAUUGCUCAUCAAGGUAUUUCUCUGAAAUGUUUCAGGACUUUGGCAUCAAAGCACUCUGUGAUUAUAAGAAACUGAUGUCAACUUGCAGGCAUUCAAAUAAGUGUGUAUCGGACAACAUCCGGUGAAGGUACUGGAUGAGAUGCUACAAGAGGUCCAUUUAAUUGCCAGGAAUAUUCUGAA
rnacentral:lncRNA from 1 species